rnacentral:RNase_P_RNA from 1 species
GCAGAUGGAAUAUGACCGCGCUGGUGCAGCUUAAUGAUAAGAUGUGCCAGUGAGACAAAGUCCGGGCUCCUCCGGAAAAAUGCCGGGUAAUAACCGGGCAAACAGUGAAACUGUAUUUCUGCAAAGAAAUGCAAAGUUCCUGUUUGACAGAAAGUGCAACAGAAAAUAUACCGUCUGCCGUGUGCAGAUAAGGGUGAAAAGGUGGUGUAAGAGACCACCGCGCAUCAGGCAACUGAUGUGGCAGUGCAAACCUCAUUGGGAGCAAAACCAAGCAGCAGGCAGUUCCGGCUUAUCCUGCGGGUAGGUUGCUUGAAAUGCAGGGCAAUCUGCAUUCAAGAUAGAUGGUCAUGCCGAUUAUAUCGGUUUCAGAACCCGGCUUACCGUUCCAUCUGCUUUU